CAGAACGAACGCUGGCGGCGCGUCUUAAGCAUGCAAGUCGAGCGGCAAGGGGGAGUAAUCCCCCCUAGAGCGGCGGACUGGUGAGUAACGCGUGGGUGACCUGCCUUGAGGAUGGGGAUAGCCAUUAGAAAUAGUGGGUAAUACCGAAUGUGGUUGUGAGGUUAAGGCCUUGCAACGAAAGGGGCGUUUGCCCCGCCUUGAGAUGGGCCCGCGUCCCAUUAGCUAGUUGGAGAGGUAAAGGCCCCCCAAGGCGAAGAUGGGUAGCCGGCCUGAGAGGGUGAACGGCCACAUUGGGACUGAGAUACGGCCCAAACUCCUACGGGAGGCAGCAGCUAAGAAUAUUCCGCAAUGGCCGAAAGGCUGACGGAGCGACGCCGCGUGUACGACGAAGGCCGAAAGGUUGUAAAGUACUUUUGCGGACGAAGAAUAAGCAGGGGAGGGAAUGCCCGUGUGAUGACGAUAGUCCG
rnacentral:rRNA from 1 species